rnacentral:rRNA from 1 species
GAUGAACGCUGGCGGCGUGCCUAAUACAUGCAAGUCGAGCGAACGGACGAGAAGCUUGCUUCUCUGAUGUUAGCGGCGGACGGGUGAGUAACACGUGGAUAACCUACCUAUAAGACUGGGAUAACUUCGGGAAACCGGAGCUAAUACCGGAUAAUAUUUUGAACCGCAUGGUUCAAAAGUAAAAGACGGUCUUGCUGUCACUUAUAGAUGGAUCCGCGCUGCAUUAGCUAGUUGGUAAGGUAACGGCUUACCAAGGCAACGAUGCAUAGCCGACCGGAGAGGGUGAUCGGCCACACUGGAACUGGGCCACGGUCCAGACGCCUAAGGGAGGCAGCAGUAGGGAAUCUUACGCAAUGGGCGAAAGCCUGACGGAGCAACGCCGCGUGAGUGAUGAAGGUCUUCGGAUCGUAAAACUCUGUUAUUAGGGAAGAACAGAUGUGUAAGUAACUGUGCACAUCUUGACGGUACCUAAUCAGAAAGCCACGGCUAACUACGUG